CACUGUCUCCAACACUGGCUGCUAAGCUCAGCUUCCCUGUGCGAGCUCUCCCGAAAGCUGCCAGGUGUCCACUCUGGGGCAUGCCUUUAAGGCCAUCGAGCGCAGGUGGCCAACAUCGGGAGCAAAAGCGGCUUCGCUCCUGGCAACCAGGGGCAAUCUCUUAACAGCAUCAGCUGCAGACUUGCGGAGCACCGAGGCUCACGGGGCUGCAGCGCAUGCUCACUUAUCUCUGGUGGAGGUUUGAGGAGGCUGAUGAAAGCAGGGCUAUCCUCUACCCAGAUAAGGACAACUCCAGGGUAGAAACCAUUGUCUCUUGACCACCUUGACCCCUCAAGGCAAAGACUUCUGGAGACCACCUCUAGACCAAGACUGAUUAAUUAUUCAUACCAAGAGGUAUGAACCACUUGCCACAAUCUUCCUUGACUUAAUCUAAAAGCUCAUGUGUGUAACCCAAACAUGAACUUAGGGUCAUUGUACCCUUUUAUCUGAUUUAUCCCAAUAUGGCUACAUCGGAUAACUCUCUCUCUGUACCAUUCAACUUUACCACCCUCUGGCAACAGGAUCUCACUGUAGCAGCGAAGGCUGACCUGGAUCUCAUUUUGUAUGCCAGGCUGACCUUCAACUAACAGUGAUCCUUAUGCCUCAGCCUCACAAGUGUUGAGAAAAAGGUGUAAACCACCAUUCCUGGCUUUACUUGUCUCUUUAAUUGGCAUACUGGGGACUGGAGGCCCAGCCUAGCCUGUUUGGACUGCCUCAGCCUAAGCUUUGGUUAUGAAAGGCGGGGAUGGAGCAAGUGCCUGGAGGUAUCCCCAGACAGAGACACCUCUAGUCCAAGGGUAGCAUUCAUAAGUAGAAGAUGCUGCACUCCAGUACUGGGCCUCAGUUUCCCAUCCCUGGGAAGCACGGCCCAUAUGCCAGAUCAAUGCUCCUAUCGGAUGUGGCCGUUGGACCAGAAUAUGUUACAUGUGGCAGCUCAUUCCUGAGGUGGUUAAUUGGCCGCCUCAGUGCUGGGCUCUGUCGCCCCAUUGAUUGGGAAUGAAGGGUGAGAAGAGGGAGAUGGGGAAUCGAUAGGCUGAUGAGUGUCUUACUAGCUUUCUGUUUGAACACUUUGUCAAUAGCCACCCACUUAAUGGCCAGUGGUGCAUUGGCUGUCCAUCUUUCUAUCCUUGUGGCCUGGGACAUGAGACCCUUCGGAUAGUGUGUGCCUAUGCCCGGCAAUCCUAGUAGGUGGGGCAGCUUUUGGCUCUAAAACUAGGCUCCAGGUGAGGAAGUGCAAGGCCUAUUCUGAGCAAGGGGGACUGUCCCCACUGUUUGCCCAGUCUUGCUCAGCCAAAGGCAACUCCACACCCUGUACUCUAUGGUUUGCUAAAAGACCCUGAUCCCCCCACCCCCAACCCCCACACACAGGCAAAUGUGAAAUUCUGAAGUCAUCUCAAAAGUUCAUGUGUUUGGAGUAGAGGUGGCCAUGAGAUUUCAAUCUCAAUUCACUUUAGGAGCUAGCAGCUAGUUAGUAUCUAGAAGCUCUUUCUGUACAGUGGAGAUCCUGGGACAAGAGGCAACUAAGAAAAGAUAAGCCCAGGGAACCCUUUCUUUAGUCCUAGAGUCUUUCAAAUGUGACAAACCCAAAGCCCCAGAGCUUUGCCCUCUGCCCAGCCUCCCAUAUGGUUUUAUGAACUGAAACUGCAAAGUUUAGGGUGUGAGAAUGUAUCAUUCUGAGUGUUUGAACUGUCUCUCUGUUGGCUGCCCUGCAAUAGUUUAGGAGGUAAUGGAAUUGUUUGGUUUCUUCUGAGACAUUUCUGGUGGGUAGGUGCUGUCCCUUUAGCCUGGUUUGUUGUCUAGUCCCCCUCUGCAAAGGCAUCAUCCUUUACUCUGAGUGACAAACAACUCAAGACAGGGAGAGGAAUAAGAUAAGGACAAGAUAAAGUGUCAGAUGAAACCUCUUCUGUACACUCUUGAGACUAAGAGGUAAUGUUCUUUCUCUGGAUGCCUGUUAGGUGGGUGGUGUAGUUAGGGACCUUCCUUAGCAUGUCUUAAAAGGCCUGACAGCUAGGACCGGUGAUCAGGACAGGUUAUACGCAAGGGUAUUAACCCAGCUCUGCUUUCCUCCUGCUUUUUGGUUAGGAGCAUCAUGUGCUGGCUAGUAAACGUUCUCAGAGACAUCAAUCAAAGCUUUGCAUUCUCAGAGUCUCCCAGGCACAGAAAACGGUGGGUGCUAGCCGUGGUGCUGAAGCAUAUCUCCCUUUUAGAGAAAGCUUGUUCCCAGCUUCCUCUAAAGACCAGAAUAGUUAGCUGGGCGUGGUGGCAUACACCUUUAACCCCAGCACUCGGGAGGCAGAGGCAGGCGGAUUUCUGAGUUCAAGGCCAGCCUGGUCUACAAAGUGAGUUCCAGGACAGCCAGGGCUAUACAGAGAAACCCUGUCUCGAAAAACAUAGUUGGCCUACAUAGAUCCUUUCAACAUUUCCCCAGUGGGUCGCAGAUAGCCCUCCUCUCUCUUCUCAUCUGAUAAAUACACAGUCUUGACCUCCAAACUGCGAUUCACCUCCUAGUUUGUCAUGAUGGAGAUCAUGCCGUCUUCUAGUUCCCUGGUCCAGGAAGCAUCAGUCAGUGGAAGAUACAGAUGUCCAGUUGGUGGACCCUGGAUGAACUUGCAGAAUGGAGAGAAAGUCAGCUGGCUGAGGGCAACGGGAGCAUGUUGAGCUGCUGAGAACAAAAGCUAAUGGGACCCACUUCAUGCUAGAGGUGCCAACUGUGCCCCCUUAGGCACACGUGUGCCUCGGGAGGUUUGAAUAUGUUCCUUGGCUCCUGAUCCUCAUCUGUGACCAGAAGCAUUGGCUGUCAUCAGAGUUUUGCUCCUUUCACACACAAAAAAAAAAAAGUAACCAUUCCCUCUGACAAAUGCAGCUGUCUCCAUUAAGUUAUUAGAACUCAGUGUGACAUCACUCACUGGCUUCUGUUCCUAUGAUGGAGUCCCAGGACUAAGAAGUAUAAGGUUGUAGCAUCCGGUACAGAAAGAAAGAGAGAGGUUAAUCAAGGAAAAACAGAGAAUUGCAUAAAGGAGAGCUUGAACAAAUGCUAACUUGAUCAAGAGAGGAAAUUGUCACUGCUCCUGGCUUCUCUAACCACAGCCUCCCAGCCCACUAUGAUCUGAUGAAAGGACUCACAACUCAUUGAUGAGGAUGUCAGGGACCCAGAUGCUGUCUGUGGGGAUGGACAAUUUGGUGACAUUGUCGAAGUCCUCAGGAGUCCACUGCAGAAACUCAUCAGUCCAGUACUGUGGGAGAAACAGAAACCAUCAAAGGCAGCCCCCUUCCAUCUUCGGUGAGGGUCACCUGCAAAUCAGACAGGUUUUUAUCCCUUCUGCUCAGGCAGUAGGUGGGCACCUUCUAGGGGGAAAUCUGGGUGUUGACGCAUACCUCUUCCUGGUCAAUAAGAGACUCCAUCUCUACAGCUGUCAACCAUCUUCAGCUAUAAAACCCAGGCUGCCUCUUCUACGGAAACAUGCUGCCUGUUCUUGUUUGGCUCAUUAUCCAUGAGACAGGGUAUGUUCUGAAUUAAGAGGAUCUUCAGUGAGACCGAAAUGGAGCUGUCUGAUAAGGACCACUCUCUGUCCCAUAAGUGUAUGGUGGUGAUAGAACAUGAUCAUGGCCGUAGGAAGGGAUUUGAGACCUGUGUGUCCCUGAUGUGUCUACGCAGCCUCUGGGGUGAGGCCUCUCCAGUUUACCUCCCUCCCCAGAGCUCAGCCAAGUCCUGAAACAUCUGCAUAUUAGUGUGACCUACACCUGUCUUAAUUGGACGAGUGGCAACAGGGAAGAAUCCUGAGGGUUAAGUGAAUAGGUUUUUUUUUUCCUGUUUUGAUUGCUCAGUUUGGUUGUUAUCCAACUUCGCAUAGAAUGAAGAACUUUCUAGAAGUUGGAGCUGUUCACAUGAAAGUGAAGUCACUAUGGUGUGAGUUCUCAGGCCAGGAAUUGUCCUUCCUCCAGGGUUAGUCAGUCAGCACUUGUCUGAGAUGCUCUAAACCAUCUGAGAAACCAGGUGUGGGGGCUGGGAGGAUGGCCGCCACCCAUCUUCCCCUCGCCCUGAGAUGGGACAUUUCAGACACCUAGACCUUGUAUCUGUCUACCGUGCUUUCUUCACUAAGCUGCUCACCACCUUCCUUCCUUCACGGUAGCCACUGAGAUUCCCGACUCCUUGAGAGGGGGGUGUCCCAGGAAGUGGGGGGCUGGUCUGCUCACCUGCCGGUACCAUAUGUAGGUGGUCAGAACCUGGUUCUUCUCAUCCUGUGAAAGUAAAAGGGGCUGACAUGUGGACACACACACACACACACACACACACACACACACACACACACACACACCAACAGAAGCUUGCCCUGGGUAUCUCAUCUGCUGGAAGAGGCCGAGGAAGGAGAUGAACUCAAGCUGCUGGCCAGCCAGGAGAAGCUGGUCUGUUAAAUGGGUACAACUAGAAAGCAUUGCAGUCAUUUCUUCUCAGCUUCCAAGAUACAUAGUGAGGUGUGUGUGUGGGGGGGGGGGG